rnacentral:rRNA from 1 species
AUGCUACAUGAGGAAAAGGCGGCAGUCAUCAAAAGAUUAAUGAAGAAGGGACAAUUGCCUGCACAACUAACAGAAGUGGAUGAGAAUGGUAACCGUUGGCCAACUAAGGAAGCUUUAAUUUCUGCAAAGAAAGUUGACUUUGGUACCGAUGUUGGUUGGCGUCUACUAUGUGAGCAUUGGAGUGGUGCUGAAUUUAGAGGGUUACCCUUAAGAAACAAGAGGAACAGACUUGCUAAUGGGGAUACAAUCUUCCAUUGCAGCGGGAAAGACCCUGGAAUUUCCGGUGCUUGGCUUCACACGCACAAUUUGCAUCGAGGGACCGACGAAGAGAAGAUUUGCAGUCAAAGAACUGCCGAUCGUUGGGUUAGCGAAAUCUUGCGACUUAGCUCAUUUUAA